CAUACAAGCUGGGGGUGCCGGCACCGGGCCGGCUGAGAGAGUCCCCUCGAACCUGAUCCGGCUCGUACCGGCGGAGGGAAGCUUGCGAAAUCCGCA
rnacentral:ncRNA from 2 species